UACGGGGGGAGCAAGCGUUGUUCGGAUUUACUGGGCGUAAAGGGCGCGUAGGCGGCCAGCACAAGUCAGUUGUGAAAUCUCCGAGCUUAACUCGGAACGGUCAACUGAUACUGUGCGGCUAGAGUGCAGAAGGGGCAACUGGAAUUCUCGGUGUAGCGGUGAAAUGCGUAGAUAUCGAGAGGAACACCUGCGGCGAAGGCGGGUUGCUGGGCUGACACUGACGCUGAGGCGCGAAAGCCAGGGGAGCGAACGGG
rnacentral:rRNA from 1 species